rnacentral:rRNA from 1 species
GACGAACGCUGGCGGCGCGCUUAACACAUGCAAGUCGAACGGAAAGGCCUGCUUUUCCUUGUGGAUUGCGGGUACUCGAGUGGCGAACGGGUGAGUAACACGUGAGUGAUCUGCCCCCAACUUGGGUAUAAGCCUGGGAAACUGGGUCUAAUUCCCGAUAGGACUGCAGGGUGGUGCCUGUGGUGGAAAACGAUUUUCUAGUGGUUGGGGAUGAGCUCGGGGGCUAUCAGCUUGUUGGUGGGGUAAUGGCCUACCAAGGCGGGGACGGGUAGCCGGCCUGGGAGGGUGGACGGCGACAUUGGGACUGAGACACGGCCCAGGCGCCUAGGGGGGGCAGGAGUGGGGAAUGAGGCACAAUGGGCGGGGGCCUGUGGCAGCGACGCCGCGAGGGAAAUGACGGCCUUCGGGUGGUAAACUCCUUUCGACAGAGAGGAAGCCACCUGGUUGGAAGGGUGGUGACGGUAGUGGGAGAAGAAGCACCGGCUAACUACGUG